AGCUUUGCUCAGUGGCAGUAUCGUAGCCAAUGAGGUUUAUCCGAGGCGUGAUUAUUACUAAUUGAAAACUUUUCCCAAUACCCCACCAUAACAACUUGAAAUAUAGUCGGCAUUGGCAAUUUUUGACAGUCUCUAUGGAGA
ensembl:snRNA U4 U4 spliceosomal RNA